rnacentral:rRNA from 1 species
UACAGAGGGUGCGAGCGUUGUUCGGAAUCAUUGGGCGUAAAGCGCACGUAGGCGGUUUGUUAUGUCGGAUGUGAAAGCCCUUGGCUCAACUGAGGAAGUGCAUCCGAAACUGGCAAGCUAGAGUACUAAAGAGGGUCGCGGAAUUCCCGGUGUAGAGGUGAAAUUCGUAGAUAUCGGGAGGAACACCGGUGGCGAAGGCGGCGACCUGGGUAGAUACUGACGCUGAGGUGCGAAAGCGUGGGGAGCAAACAGG